GAAGCGUCGACAGACCUCCAGGACCACACGCCAGAUAGUAGUACCUCUGACAGAUCACCCGAUACAGAUGGACGCAUCCAGCGCGUGAUCUGUCGACGCAACACUCUGAUAUCGUCCAACCCGGUUCGCAGUCGUACAUCUCGUAAGACUCUUUCCUGCUGCGUGCUUAGGGGUGAGUUCAUCAGGGUAGUAUCUCCUCUCACCACACUGUGACCUAUACCAAACUGUUGCCUCGGCGGGGUCACGCCCCGGGUGCGUCGCAGCCCAGGAACCAGGCGCCCGCCGGAGGGACCAACCAAACUCUUUCCGUAGUCCCCUCGCGGACGUUAUUUCUUACAGCUCUGAGCAAAAAUUCAAAAUGAAUCAAAACUUUCAACAACGGAUCUCUUGGUUCUGGCAUCGAUGAAGAACGCAGCGAAAUGCGAUAAGUAAUGUGAAUUGCAGAAUUCAGUGAAUCAUCGAAUCUUUGAACGCACAUUGCGCCCGCCAGUAUUCUGGCGGGCAUGCCUGUCCGAGCGUCAUUUCAACCCUCGAACCCCUCCGGGGGGUCGGCGUUGGGGAUCGGAAACCCCUAAAACGGAAUCCCGGCCCCGAAAGAACUAGGCAUUCUCGCCGCAUGCUCCCUCCGGCGUUAGUUUGAAUGACUGGGAGCGACACCGGGGGUCGUCUCCCUCAGUAAAACCCACAGUUUUAGGAUAUGUUGACGUGUGGAUAGAGGAAUGACCACCUGAUGAACUCUCCUCAAGAACGCACGGAAAGA
rnacentral:rRNA from 1 species